CCACGGAGGGGUUAAUCGGGGAUUGCCUUUUCAAAAAUGCAGGCCCCUGUUGGAAGAGUUUCCUGAAGAAUGUGUGAGCAUGAAAUGUUGGCAGCUUUUGAAAAGGUGGGAAGAAAUGCUUUGCUCCUGGAACAAAGUCUGGUGCAGAUGUCUGCUAGGCCCGCAGAGUGACCUGAGAUCACCUGGUUUAGAAUUGUUCUCUGGCUUCAGAUCAUAGGAUAGAGAGCUGGAAGUGAUCUUUAAGCUAUCCAGAAUUCAACUUCUCAUUGUACAGAUGAAGAACCUGAGAUCCAGAGAACUGAAAUGGCUUGUUCGGGGUCACACAGCAUCACCACUACUCUUGUCCUGAUACCCUUUGCUCCAGGGCAGGCCUACACAACAUACAGCCCAUGGAUUGCUUGCAGCCGGCCAAAGGAUUUCAGGUGGCCCACAAAAAUGUAGAGGAGAGGCAGCUGUAUUCACAUCUUGCUUCCAAUACAACACCGGUAGAAUGUUAAUGGUAAAAAGAUGGGUUUUUACUUUCCCGAGAAACUUGGGCUAAAUAAAAGAGUGCUGCAUUUUCUUGAAGGCAAUCCAACCCAGUCUUCUCUUCCUGUUCAACUGUAGGCCCAUUUCACUGUCUAUCAUCUAUCCCAGAUACUCAUACAGAUGGAGAAGUUCUGGAGAGCAUCCAUCCAAAUACAUGUUAGAAUCGGGAUGAUGAAAAUUCAGUAUUCACUUGAUCUUUCCUGUGUGAGUGGUCAGGCCAAGCUCCUUUGAGUGCUUAUAAAUCUCUUCCACGAUGCACAACAGUUUCCUGAGUCUUGAUGAAAUCAAAAUAAUGUCAUCCACAAAUAGGAGCAUUUAGAGAACCUCUCCAUUUAUAGGGAAUCCCUCUUUGACUAGUAUUUGGUUCUGGAUCUCCUCUCUCACCAUGAUGAAUCACUUUGCUAAGCAUGUCUCUCCCUGUUUCAUGUUGCAUCUGAUAAUUGUGAUCAGAGGGCCAUUAAACAGGGUUAUUCCUGUUGGUGUAUGUUCCAAAGAAUAUUGAAUGAUUUUGAUGCACGUGCGAAUCCAUGAGGUAAGUCUGGUAGAUUUUAUUUUUAUUUUCAUUUUAAAGAUGAAGAAACUCAGUCUAAGAGAAGCUAAGUGACUUGCUCAUUAUUGUGCAAUAAACGAGCUUCAGAGGAGGGAUUCAAACCUGGAUGUCACUUGAGUUCAGGGCCAGGACUCUUUCUACUGUGUCACAUGGCCUUUUUUGCAUAUGACAAAUGUUAUGUUUUCACUCUCAUACUGGAUCUAAACACGAAGUGAAUAAGUGUAUUUUUGUUGCUCACUCAUUUCAGUUGUGUUGGACUAUUUGAUCAGAAGCAAGUAAGAGAAGUAGAAGAAAAACUGA